rnacentral:lncRNA from 1 species
UGGCAAGAAGGAAGUCAUACAGGCUGGUGUCAAGAACCAAAACCGUCCAGGAUCAAGGACAUCUUAGGCAAGUCUUGCAACAAGUAACGUUGCAGUAAACCCAAGGCCUCAGCCUGGGCUUCCCUUUGCAGAGGGGAAUUUCUCUGUGCUUCAGCUGCUGCAUACAGAAGGUGCUUGUGUGGCCCAUCCUGAGCUGGGGAAGGGGAAAAGAGGAAUGGAACUAGCCUUUGCAUCCACUGUAGUGGAGAAAGCCAGUGUUAUACUUGCAAACCAUGUUUCUCUGAGGAUCACUGAAAGGCUGUUGUAGCCCAGUGCACUGCUGGGGGUCUCCUCGGCCAUGAUCUCCACCCACGUAGGAGCACGCACCCUGUGCUGGAAGGGCCCCUGUUGCCCUUGGUGAGCAUGGGGUGAAGAGGUACGGAGCAGCACUAAAUGAACUGACGAGAGCAGAGCACUUAGCUUUACCUAGAUGCCGUUCAAAAUUUCUAAGGUGUUGCAAAAUAUGAAUUAAUCUUUGCAUUCACUGACUAGAUAACUAUUAUUGCUAUUACAAA